rnacentral:lncRNA from 1 species
GAUUUUAAGGGUAUUUAAGAUUAUGGGAUACUUGAGAUUAUGGUACUUGAGGGUGGGGUUAUAUGAGAUUUGGGGUAUAAAAGAUUUGGGAUAUUUGAGAUUAAGGGGUAUAUGAGAUAGGGUAUAAGAGAUUAGUGGUAUAUGAGAUUAAUGGUGUAAGAGAUUAAGAGAUUAGGGAUAUGUGAAGAUUAUGAGGUUUAGGGGUAUAAGAAAUUGAGGGUAUAUGGGAUUAAGGGUACUGGGGUAAGAAUAUAAGAGAUUAAGGGUUUAGGGGUGUGGGGUAUAUGGGAUGAUGCCGCAAAACUGUAAUU